rnacentral:rRNA from 1 species
GAUGAACGUUGGCGGCGUGCUUAACACAUGCAAGUCGAACGAGAAGUGAAGACGGAAACCUUCGGGCGGAAGGCUUUAUUUCGAGUGGCGGACGGGUGAGUAACGCGUGGGUAACCUGCCUCAUACAGGGGGAUAACAGUUGGAAACGACUGUUAAUACCGCAUAAGACCACAGCACCGCAUGGUGCGGGGGUAAAAACUCCGGUGGUAUGAGAUGGAUCCGCGUUCGAUUAGCCAGUUGGCGGGGUAACGGCCCACCAAAGCGACGAUCGAUAGCCGAUCUGAGAGGAUGACCGGCCACAUUGGGACUGAGACACGGCCCAAACUCCUACGGGAGGCAGCAGUGGGGAAUAUUGCACAAUGGGGGAAACCCUGAUGCAGCGACGCCGCGUGAGUGAAGAAGUAUUUCGGUAUGUAAAGCUCUAUCAGCAGGGAAGAAAAUGACGGUACCUGAGGAAGAAGCCCCGGCUAACUACGUG